CCCCCCACCGCCUGACCCCAUUAAGCAGCGACAACAAUACACGGCGAUGGGGGUCCCUGACUUCUGGAUCUCUUCCCCUCAUGGAGCCAAGAUCCACCAAGAAACAAACCGUCCAUCCUUCUCUCUCACCUUCCAUUCCUUCCUUCCUUCCUUACUUUCUUUACCCCCCCCCCCCCCCCGUGCAAGAGACACUGCAAAAGCCACGGCCAAUGUAUUAAAUGUUAUUUAUUUUAUCACAAAUCUGUGUAGUAAUUUAUACUGUAAAUAAUGGAAAAUACUCUAUAAACACUAGAGGACAACCAUCACCCGCGUGUGGAAGAUCACGCAGUCGUAGUUGGAGGAAGGAGAAACGACUGAAGAGACUGACCAAGAUUAAUAUAUAGAGAUACUUCUGUUGUACAUAGAAGCUGCGGUUAAAACUAUUGAAUGUCUGCUGUCCAAGGGGAAACUUUAACAUUCAAAUGGGUUUUGAUUUUGCGUGCUAGUCUUCACUGGCCUGCCCAAAUUGUCAUGGGGGGAUCUUACCUCGAUGCAUUCUGGGUCCAACUGUAUGAACACUGAAGACAGAGGGCAUCUUCCAAAAUGGCCGCUAGCUGUACAUUUCAGCUCACUGUCCAGUCGUACUUCAUCACUAUAUUCAUGAACGAACAACAUGUGUGGACUCGAACAAACACUCGCUCACUUUGUACAAGUAACACAUGUCCCUUGCAGUUAAAACGAUCACGCACUGACACAUACACACACAUACACGAUUCCAAGAUUAUUAUUAUUUAUUUUUUUAUUCCUGUUUAUCCUGGACAACAAAUCUUUUUGCACAUAAAGAACCUUUCCGAGUUGUUGUCUUGAACCUUGACAGAACCACUGCUGCGGUCUUCACUCAGCCCAUUACUUACUAAAAAAAUAGAUUACCGAAGUCAUGUAGGGGGACGGAUCUGAAUUUAAGUUAAUUACUAAAUGAGAGUUCAUUGAUUGGCCUUGUGAGCCGUCAAACCUUUCUCGGAAGACACAGCAUUCCCUCCUUAAUGUAGACCGGUACAGGGAAGCAGCUACCAAUCCCUCUUCCUUUGCAUAUGCAUUAGUGUUUAAACUGACCAUUCGUGACUGGCUGAGGCUAGUACUGGAAUUAACAAGACGUUCUGUUUUAAGGUUUUUGAGUCAUAGCUAAUAUGUUGUUGGUUUUUGGUUCAGUACAGAGCUAGCUGACGAGUCCCCCAGUACCUAAAUGUUGGUUUUGGAGUAGGCUCGAUUAAAAAAACGCUUUUUACUGGAACGCAAAGUACUGGGUCAGAAUCCUCGCCAUCCCAAAAUGAGUUCUGCUGUCAUGACGACGAGAAGCUCACAUCAUCUCAUCUUUUCUAAAUUGUGACACGUCUCUUAAGCUGCAUACUGUAUGGUAAGCUCCAUGAUGUAACACACUGUGGAAUAUCCUCUGUAUGACUUAUUCAGAGACAGGCAAUGUUUUCAGAGGCCAUGACAGUUAUACCGAGCAGCAUAAGCAAUGCUUCAGCUACUGCUGCAUCUGAUGGCUAAAAUAGAUUUGUGGCCACAUAACAAACAAUAUUAUGAGGGAACGAUCAGAUAUGAAAGAAGGUGUCGCCCCUUGUUAAUGCUGGAAACGUUAAAUAUAGGCUGUGGGUUUAAUUAUUUGUUUAUGUCGGAUGAAAAUUAUCCUUUGUUUGAGUGUUUAAAUGGUAUGGCAUUCUCUUUUAAACAGAGAAAAAUAACGGUGGUAAGGAUUGCUGAUAUUACAUGGUUAUAGGGGAACUUGCACAAAUGACACCCAAUAAUUGAAACGCAAUGGGCAAAUAAUAAUAUCUCAUUGAAAAUGCCAGUUAACACAUUACGUUGGAAACACUUACACUGUUAGCAGCUGCACUGCUGAUACCAAGACCUUGAUUUGUAAACGCAUUUCGGCAGUAUUUGGGACUAGUUACCCUUCGAUUUGUUCCUUUAAAUUGUUUUAUUGCUUAAUUUAUUCUAUGUCAAAUGUCAACUAAUUAUAAUUGUAUUUAUUUCCUGUCUGUGUACUAUCCAAUGAAGAUGUUUGAAAUAUAAAUGCACUCCAAACUCUCUCCUGACGAUGAUUAGGCAGAGUUAAUGCCAGCAACAUUUGAAAGUGGCAGUUAAAAGUAAAUUUGAUGAAGAGAUGUUGUCACCUGUCGUCUUAAUAUAGCUGGUUCAUGUAAAUAUGAACUAGUCAUGCACUAAAUGUAAACUUUGUAGCUUAUAAUUAUCAGAUAGUUCAUAGUUUAUUAGUUUACUGUGCUAAUUGCCUUGAAUGAACUUGAUAAUCUCUGCAAUUUUGCUCUGAACUAUAACAUUAAGAAAAUACAAUAUUGUUAAAGCAUGAAUUCCUUAAUCUUCCAUUCCUCUUUUGUGCUGAAUCCACACUGCUACUAGGAAUGGAUAAUAAAGGUUACCUAUAGAAACACCAUAGUCCACAUUAACGUCCAGAGAGAGCACGCCCAGAACCUCUUUACCCACAAUGCCUUGUUCUGAAAUGCAGCUUUACGCAAAAGAGAAACACGCUUUUGUUAACUGAUUUGUUUUGUUUUGUUUGACAUUCCAGAUUUGACAUCACAAAGCAUGUACUUCUUUUUAUUAAUAAUUUCUAAUAAACUAUGCAUCAACCGACACACAAACACACCAAUUAUUGACAGAAACGUACACACACACACCUCCCCUGCAUCUGUAGGCCUACUGGUUCAAGUUAACGGCUGAAUGACAUCACUGUUUGAAUAUGGAGAUCUGAUAUUAAAAACUAUA
ensembl:lncRNA